rnacentral:rRNA from 1 species
AUUGAACGCUGGCGGCAGGCCUAACACAUGCAAGUAGAACGAGAGGCGGACGGGUGAGUAAUGUAUGGGAAACUGCCUGAAGGAGGGGGAUAACUACUGGAAACGGUAGCUAAUACUGCAUACCAUCAGAUGUGCCUAGAUGGGAUUAGCUAGUUGGUGGGGUAACGGCUCACCAAGGCGACGAGCCCGAGCAGGUCUGAGAGGAUGACCGGCCAACCUGGAACUGAGACACGGUCCAGACUCCUACGGGAGGCAGCAGUGGGGAAUCUUGCACAAUGGGCGCAAGCCUGAUGCAGCCAUGCCGCGUGUAUGAAGAAGGUCUUCGGAUUGUAAAGUACUUUCAGCGGGGAGGCGUUACCAGCAGAAGAAGCACCGGCUAACUCCGUGCCAGCAGCCGCGGCAAUUC